rnacentral:rRNA from 1 species
UCGAGGAUCUUCCGCAAUGGGGGAAACCCUGACGGAGCGACGCCGCGUGGAGGAUGAAGGCCUUCGGGUCGUAAACUCCUGUCAGUCUGGAAGAAAGUCUGCACUAAUAUGUAGAUUGACCGUACAGGCAGAGGAAGCUCCGGCUAACUCCGUGCCAGCAGCCGCGGUAAUACGGAGGGAGCGAGCGUUGUUCGGAAUCAUUGGGCGUAAAGGGCAUGUAGGCGGCUUUGUAAGUCGGGUGUGAAAUCCCAUCACUUAAGGGUGGAACGGCAUUCGAAACUGCAAGGCUUGAGUUCAGGGGAAGAGAGCGGAAUUCUCGGUGUAGCGGUGAAAUGCGUAGAUAUCGAGAAGAACACCAGCGGCGUAAGCGGCUCUCUAUCCUGAAACUGACGCUGAGGUGCGAAAGCCAGGGGAGCAAACGGG